CCUACGGGGGGCAGCAGUGAGGAAUAUUGGUCAAUGGGCGCGAGCCUGAACCAGCCAAGUAGCGUGAAGGAUGACUGCCCUACGGGUUGUAAACUUCGUUUAUAAAGGAAUAAAGUGAGGCACGUGUGCCUUUUUGUAUGUACGUUAUGAAUAAGGAUCGGCUAACGCCGGGCCAGCAGCCGCGGUAAUACGGAGGAUCCGAGCGUUCUCCGGAUUUAGUGGGUUUAAAGGGAGCGUAGAUGGGUUGUUAAGUCAGUUGGGAAAGUUUGCGGCUCACCCGUAAAAUUGCAAUUGAUACUGGCAGCCUUGCGUACAGUUGCGGUCGGCGGACUUCUUGUUGUAGCGG
rnacentral:rRNA from 1 species